AGACUACUCUACCAACUACUGGAUCAGACUACUCUACCAACUACUGGAUCAGACUACUCUACCAACUACUGGAUCAGACUACUCUACUAACUACUGGAUCAGACUACUCUACCAACUACUGGAUCAGACUACUCUACCAACUACUGGAUCAGACUACUCCUCUAACUACUGGUCUAAAACACACCUGGAUCAGACUACUCUACUAACUACUGGAUCAGACUACUCUACUAACUACUGGAUCAGACUACUCUACUAACUACUGGAUCAGACUACUCUACCAACUACUGGAUCAGACUACUCUACCAACUACUGGUCUAAAACACACCUGGAUCAGACUACUCUACUAACUACUGGAUCAGACUACUCUACUAACUACUGGAUCAGACUACUCUACUAACUACUGGAUCAGACUACUCUACUAACUACUGGAUCAGACUACUCUACUAACUACUGGAUCAGACUACUCUACUAACUACUGGAUCAGACUACUCUACUAACUACUGGAUCAGACUACUCUACUAACUACUGGAUCAGACUACCCUACUAACUACUGGUCUAAAACACACCUGGAUCAGACUACUCUACUGACUACUGGUCUAAAACACACCUGGAUCAGACUCAUUUUCACAACAAAUGGAGUUGCCGUUCUCUGGUCUGGAGUCGACCUUCAUCAUCAUCGCCUUCAUCAUCUUCUCUCUCUUCGGCCUGGCCUCAGUCUGUACUCAGCCGGACACAGAGGAAGCUGUGUGUGAAGAGAAGAGGUUCCACAGGAGACCAGAGAGGAAGCAACGUGUCAUCGUCAAACUGGCCUCUCAGAGAGAACCCUGAACACUGUCCUCUCAGAGAGAACCCUGAACACUGGCCCAAUCUGGCCUCUCAGAGAGAACCCUGAACACUGGCCCAAACUGGCCUCUCAGAGAGAACCCUGAACACUGUCCCAAACUGGCCUCUCAGAGAGAACCCUGAACACUGGCCUCUCAGAGAGAACCCUGAACACUGGCCUCUCAGAGAGAACCCUGAACACUGGCCUCUCAGAGAGAACCCUGAACACUGGCCUCUCAGAGAGAACCCUGAACACUGUCCCAAUCUGGCCUCUCAGAGAGAACCCUGAACACUGUCCCAAACUGGCCUCUCAGAGAGAACCCUAAACACUGUCCCAAACUGGCCUCUCAGAGAGAACCCUAAACACUGUCCCAAACUGGCCUCUCAGAAAGAACCCUGAACACUGGCCUCUCAGAGAGAACCCUGAACACUGUCCCAAACUGGCCUCUCAGAGAUAACCCUGAACACUGUCCCAAACUGGCCUCUCAGAGAGAACCCUGAACACUGUCCCAAACUGGCCUCUCAGAGAGAACCCUGAACACUGUCCCAAACUGGCCUCUCAGAGAGAACCCUGAACACUGUCCCAAACUGGCCUCUCAGAAAGAACCCUAAACACUGUCCCAAACUGGCCUCUCAGAGAUAACCCUGAACACUGUCCCAAACUGGCCUCUCAGAGAGAACCCUGAACACUGUCCCAAACUGGCCUCUCAGAGAGAACCCUGAACAUUGGCCUCUCAGAGAGAACCCUGAACACUGGCCUCUCAGAGAGAACCCUGAACACUGUCCCAAACUGGCCUCUCAGAGAGAACCCUGAACACUGGCCUCUCAGAGAGAACCCUGAACACUAGCCUCUCAGAGAGAACCCUGAACACUGGCCUCUCAGAGAGAACCCUGAACACUGUCCCAAACUGGCCUCUCAGAGAGAACCCUGAACACUGGCCUCUCAGAGAGAACCCUGAACACUGGCCUCUCAGAGAGAACCCUGAACACUGGCCUCUCAGAGAGAAUCCUGAACACUGGCCUCUCAGAGAGAACCCUGAACACUGGCCUCUCAGAGAGAACCCUGAACACUGUCCCGAACUGGCCUCUCAGAGAGAACCCUGAACACUGGCCUCUCAGAGAGAACCCUGAACACUGUACCAGCCCUGGUAGCACAAUCGAUAUGCUGAUAGAAUUUAGGGAGCCUUAUUUUUCACAUUAGCCUUGUUAAAAUCUCCAGCUACAAUAAAUGCAGCCUCAGGAUAUGUGGUUUCCAGUUUACAAAGAGUCCAGUGAACUUCUUUCAGGGCCAUGUUGGUAAGUUGACGUUGCUCAUAUGGCCAAUAGUUCUUCCCGGCUGUAUGUAAUAAAACGUAAGAUUUCCUGGGGUAACAAUGUACGAAAUAAUACAUUAAAAAAAAAAAAAAAAUACUGCAUGGUUUCCUAAGAACACCAAGCGAGGCGGCCAUCUCUGUUGGCGCCGGAUGUUGCCGUACAUUUUGUUAACGACAGCUGGUGCACGAAAUCUAAAGAAGUCUCAAGGUUUUGCUGGCCUGAGGUAGAGUAUCUCAUGAUAAGCUGUAGACCACACUAUUUACCAAGAGAGUUUUCAUCUAUAUUCUUCGUAGCUGUCCAUUUACCGACACAAACCGAUGCGCUGGUACUAAGACCGCACUCAAUGAGCUGUGUACCGCCAUAAGCAAACAGGAAGACGCUCAUCCAGAGGCGGCGCUCCUAGUGGCCGGGGACUUUAAU